CUGCUUCUGUUUUUUUUGUUUGUUUCUGCUUCUUCACACACGCUACACAGUCAACAUGCCAUCGUUUACACAAGCUUGUAAAAUAUGUGGACUGAUCCUGACGCUAAUCGUAGCACUGAAGAUGUUUAGAUUUGGAAGUUUUGCUAUUGCACAUGAGAGUUGCUGGUGUUCUCUUUCUUGUGAUGAAGCUGAAGCUGAGCUAAAGAAACAUACGGAUGUAGAAGUUCAUGUUGAACAUCAAUCAAUAGAAAUUUAUAAUGAAAUACAUGAAGUCUCCAGUUUAUUUAACAAAGAAGGACGCUGUUCUGUGGUCAUGGAGAAAUGCUUAAAAAACUACGAAGAGGUCGAAUUAAGAAUGUUUCCUGAUAAUAAAAACCAACCAAUCUAUGAAAAAAUGGAUUUAAAGCCUGAGUGUGAAACAGAGACAACACCAAAAGAAAGAAGUGGUGCCGGCACGGUCUACUCCAUCACAAUCCUGCUGAUUAUUGGCUUUUCUGUUGCAUUGAAAUUUCGGCCAAGGAACUGAUCGGCAUCAAACACACCACACACUAGUCUGAAAUUAUUCAUUUGGAUUCAGAACGAGAGAAGACUGACUACAGAAAUUACUACUGGAUUUUUCUCAGACAUUAUAAAAUUAGGGUUAGGGUUAUCUGUUCGUCUCAUUCAGUCUACUGUAAAAUCUUGCACACUAGCACUUCUGAUGCACAGAGGUUUGUUUGACGUCAGAGUCAAGUUUUGGCAGCUCAUUUGUUCAUUCAAGUGUCAUUCUGUGUUGACGUUUAGAAACAAAACAAAGAAGGUUCGAAACCAGCUAAACUUUGUUUAGGAUCAAGCUAUCGAACCAAGUGUGAAAGCAUCUGUGUGUCUUUAUUACAAAUACUUUUAUAUGUAUUUUCCUAUAUUAGGGUGAUCAUAUAAGCCAUUUUCCCAUUUGGCAGGAUUUUUAUAUAGCCUAAACUAUCCAGAUUUUGGGUGUUUGUGCUGUGCAGAUCGACAUCUAUAGAAAGCUAGAGAGAGCAGAGCUCCUUAUGCAUUAAAAUCACUCUCUUGGUACUUUGGUGUCAUAUAAUGAUCGGUGCACAGCGACGCUUCAAGCUAAAUGAACGAACACCUAACAUGUACGUGUGUUUGCAUUGCUUUGAUCGUUCUCUGUAGAUCUCACCUUCUCACACACCACAAAAAUGGCUCAUAUGGUCACCCUAUCCUAAAUGCUCAUGUUGCACUCAAUGAAUCAGGUACAUAUCUAAUAACCUCAGAGGCCUUGAUGUUUUAUACUCUCUUUUUUUAUUGAGCUGUAAAUUAAUUGUAUUCGGUGAUGAAAACCCUCUUAAUGUGAUGAAUGUAAUAUUAUCUUUGACUACAACACACACUUAGAGCAAAUCCUGUAAGAUGUGUAUUUUUAUUAUGUAACUGCACAUAAAGCUUUGAAGGAUGUGAUAAAAAAGCUGUAACAGCACUCUGUGUGAGGUUUCAUGAUCAGUAAGGAAGUGGAAGUGGUUUUAGGGUCUCUGCAUUGUGCUUAAAUUUUGAGUUUGAUCGACACUGUUAUGAACGACAGACAAUGAAUAAAGUCAUUUUCUUCUGCAUUUUUUCUUCCUGGAUUAUGCAAAUACUUUCCAGAGAUGUUUCAGAACAUGAAGUGACUCUCUUGAGAGUCCAGCGGAAGGAAAACAUCAGCCUGAACUGCAACAUGACUGACAGAUAUGAAAUGGCCUGGUUUCACCAGUAUUCUCAACAACUAAAUCAACUAAUAUCUGCAAAGGUGAGCAGUGUGUCAGGAAGACUUCUAGUUAUGUACAAUCAAAACUGGAGUCAUCUAACCGUUGGAGAACACCAUGCAGAUGUGGGGAUCACCACAGUCAAGCUAGUUAUUUCUGGAGUAACAGAAACCGACUCAGGCCUUUAUUUCUGUGGAACAAAAUCAGUGACUUCAAAGACUUCAAAGAUGCACUUCGACAAACCCACCAGACUACAGAUCGAGGACAAGCUGACAGACAGAGAAGACCGAGUCCAUUCUGUCACAGAAACACCAGAGAUUGUUGAUGUCACAGAGGAAGUGACUACGAAAGAGAGGGCGUUGAUGUUUGGUGGUGUUGGUCUGGCGAUUGCAGUGUUUUUUCUGGCUACAGUCAUUGCAGGAGGAAUAAUUCACUAUCGCGGCUGGCAGAAAGGAUGGAGCGCCGCCAAACGCUCAUCUCUGAUUCAUCACAAUUCAGCUAAAUAACUUCUGUUUCUGCUUUAUUUCAAAGUCUAACUCAGUAUACCCAUGAGCUUUGCUUUGCUGUAGGUUACCACAAAUGUUGUAAAUGUCCCCUUUUUUAGCCCCAGUGAAAAUACUUGUUAAUAGUUGUGGUUAUUUCUCAAGGUUUUGUGGUUCACUUGUGAUUAUCAGUAAUAUAAAAACGCUGCUGCACUGUAAAAAAUCGAAUGAGCUGUUUACUUAAAAAAAAUGAAGGUAACAAUAUUACACAAAAUAUUUUUUGAGUAGUUCUUCAGGCUUGAUUUUAUAAUGGCAUCUAUCAUGUGAAAUCUCCUAAAUGAAUUAAUCUAUGACUCAAUUGAUUUAAUAUGAUUAGGGAAAUGUGCUCAUUUAUUUUAAGCUUAUUCUCAAAGAUCUGUGAAUGAGGUCUGUUUGUAUUCUAUUAUUUUAUACAUUUACAAGACUAUAUACAGCCAAUCAGCUCAAGUAGAAAAAUGCUUGAGAAAUACAGGAAAGUACUGCACUAGCAAAGCUACUGUUCAUUAAACAAGGCAUGAAACCACAAGCUCUGUGGAAACUUCGAUGUUACAGAAACUUACAAAUGUCAAACAUAACUGAACAUUAAACAUUAACAGAUGCUUCCCUUCACUCAAAAACAUAAAGUAGCAUUUCAUUUCAAAACUUACUCUCCAUAUCCAGCCACAUGCAAAGCAUGCGGGGAACUAACAAUCACCUCUAAAAUAAAACUGCAAAAUUGAGCUAAUUCUCUUAAAAUAAAUAGGCAGCCUUGUUUCAUUAAUUAUUUUAGUUUAACCAGUUCCCCAAUUCAAGCACCAAAACUGCCUCCUUAAAAAAAAUGGUUUUA